rnacentral:rRNA from 1 species
AUUGAACGCUGGCGGCAGGCCUAACACAUGCAAGUCGAGCGGCGCGGCGGACGGGGGCGGAAUGCCUACGAAUCUGCCUGGUCGUGGGGGAUAACGUCCGGAACCGGGCGCUGAUACCGCCUACUACCAGAUUCGCCUAGGUCGGAUUAGCUCGUUGGUGGGGUAAAGGCCCACCAAGGCGACGAUCCGUAACUGGUCGGCGAGGAUGAGCAGUCACACGGGAACUGAGACACGGUCCAGAAUCCUAAGGUAGGCAGUAGUGGGGAAUAGUGGACGAGGGGCGAAAGCCUUAUCCAGCCAUGCCGCGUGUGUGAAGAAGGUCUUCGGAUUGUAAAGCACUUGCAGUUGGGAGGCGUGACCCACAGAAUAAGCACCGGCUAACUCCGUGCCCGCCGCCGCGGUAAUAC